rnacentral:lncRNA from 1 species
AGAUAGAAAGGAAAUUGCAUACUGUUAUCCAUGCUGUGAAGAAAAUAAAUAAGGAAACAGAUCCGGGAGACGACUUGAAACAGGUGUUCAGUGCAGACCUCUCUAAGAAGGCAGCAUUUGAUCUAAAGGAUGAGAAGGAGUCAGCUUCAUAAUCAGGGGAGAACUUUCCAGCCAUGUUGGAACUACAUUUGGAAAGGUGGUUGUUAAACAUUUCCCAGCACACACCUGGAUCUGCAUCUGCUGUGUCAAUUGAACCACUCACUGGUUCUGUGACCUCAGUUCUUCGUAGACUCUGGAAUGGAGCUGGAAGCUGUCAUCCUCAGCACACUAACGCAGGAACAGAAAACCAAGCACUGCAUGUUCCCACUUAUAAGUGAGAGCUGAACGAGCAGAACACAUGGACAUAUGAAGGGGAACAACACACUCUGGGGCCUGUGAGGUGCAGGGAGAGCAUCAAGAAGAACAGCUAAUGGGUGCUGGGCUUAAUACCUGGGUGAUGGGUUGAUCUGUGCGGCAAACCACCAUGGCACACAUUUACCUAUGUAACAAACCUUGACAUCCUGCACAUGUACCCCGGAACUUAAAAAUAAAAGUUGACAAAAAGAAAA